rnacentral:rRNA from 1 species
UACGUAGGGUGCGAGCGUUGUCCGGAAUUAUUGGGCGUAAAGAGCUCGUAGGCGGUAUGUCGCGUCGGUCGUGAAAACUUGGGGCUUAACCCUGAGCUUGCGGUCGAUACGGGCAUGACUGGAGUUCGGCAGGGGAGACUGGAAUUCCUGGUGUAGCGGUGAAAUGCGCAGAUAUCAGGAGGAACACCGGUGGCGAAGGCGGGUCUCUGGGCCGAUACUGACGCUGAGGAGCGAAAGCGUGGGGAGCGAACAGG